GACGAACGCUGGCGGCGUGCUUAACACAUGCAAGUCGAACGGAAAGGCCCUGCUUUUGUGGGGUGCUCGAGUGGCGAACGGGUGAGUAACACGUGAGUAACCUGCCCUUGACUUUGGGAUAACUUCAGGAAACUGGGGCUAAUACCGGAUAGGAGCUCCUGCUGCAUGGUGGGGGUUGGAAAGUUUCGGCGGUUGGGGAUGGACUCGCGGCUUAUCAGCUUGUUGGUGGGGUAGUGGCUUACCAAGGCUUUGACGGGUAGCCGGCCUGAGAGGGUGACCGGCCACCUUGGGACUGCGAGACGGCCCAGACUCCUACGGGAGGCAGCAGUGGGGAAUAUUGCACAAUGGGCGGAAGCCUGAUGCAGCAACGCCGCGUGCGGGAUGACGGCCUUCUGGUUGUAAACCGCUUUCGCCUGUGACGAAGCGUGAGUGACGGUAAUGGGUAAAGAAGCACCGGCUAACUACGUG
rnacentral:rRNA from 1 species